rnacentral:rRNA from 1 species
UACGGAGGGAGCUAGCGUUGUUCGGAAUUACUGGGCGUAAAGCGCACGUAGGCGGCUUUGUAAGUUAGAGGUGAAAGCCCGGAGCUCAACUCCGGAACUGCCUUUAAGACUGCAUCGCUUGAAUCCAGGAGAGGUGAGUGGAAUUCCGAGUGUAGAGGUGAAAUUCGUAGAUAUUCGGAAGAACACCAGUGGCGAAGGCGGCUCACUGGAGCUGGUAUUGACGCGUGAGGUGCGAAAGCGUGGGGAGCAAACAGG